rnacentral:rRNA from 1 species
CCUACGGGAGGCAGCAGUGGGGAAUUUUGGACAAUGGGCGCAAGCCUGAUCCAGCAAUGCCGCGUGCAGGAUGAAGGCCUUCGGGUUGUAAACUGCUUUUGUACGGAACGAAAAGGCUCUGGCUAAUACCUGGGGCUGAUGACGGUACCGUAAGAAUAAGCACCGGCUAACUACGUGCCAGCAGCCGCGGUAAUACGUAGGGUGCGAGCGUUAAUCGGAAUUACUGGGCGUAAAGCGUGCGCAGGCGGUUUUGUAAGACAGGUGGGAAAUCCCCGGGCUUAACCGGGGAACUGCACUUGUGACUGCAAGGCUGGAGUACGGCAGAGGGGGAUGAAAUUCCGCGUGUAGCAGUAAAAUGCGUAGAUAUGCGGAGGAACACCGAUGGCGAAGGCGGCUUUCUGGGCCUAUCCUGACGCUGAGGAGCGAAAGCGUGGGGAGCAAACCGGAUUAGAUACCCUGGUAGU